rnacentral:rRNA from 1 species
UACAGGCAGGGCGAGUGUUGUUCGAAUUCACUGGGCGUAAAGGGUGUGUAGGCUGCGCCGUAAGUAAAAUGUUAAAUCUUUGGGCUCAACCCAAAGUCGCGUUUUAUACUGCGGUGCUAGAGUUUGAAUGAAGGAAUAAGAAUUUCUGGAGUAGAGGUGAUAUUCGUAGAUCCCAGAAGGACUACCAAAGGCGAAGGCAAGUUUCUAAUUCAAUACUGACGCUGAGACACGAAAGCGUGGGGAGCAAACGGG